UUUUUUUGUUUUUGUUUUUGUUUUUGGUCUCCCUAAUUCAAGGGGGUACCAGAUAGGGACUCCUCCUUAUUCUCGGUCUUAUCUCCAUUAUUUGUCCUAAACCAAGAUUCUUGGCCUUGAAAUAGAAAAUUAUGAUCCAACUCUGCAGUUCUCAUAAGAGCCCUAGUUUUGUCUGGGGGCUGUGCUUUGGAGGACAGGGAUACCAAUUAUGCCAUCUAAAAUCUCUUCUGUCUCUUUAUAUAACAAGACAGAACAUGCUUUCAGAAGGAGUCUUUUGUUUUCCUGGAUUCUACAAUAUCAGUAGAACAGCUUCCAAGCUAUUGGCCUGCUUUUCUAAGAGAGUUAAUUCAACAUAAGUCCACAGCUGGUUGUUCCUUAAGCAUUGUACUGCCAAUUGGCAGGCACAUCUUUGUAAGAUUGGGGGAAAUUUAGAGUUGUGGAAUCACACUUGGCCUUUUAAGAAGAGUACAAAUUGCAAGGCUCUCUUAAGGCCUGCAAAAACUAACUCCAAGGUGGAUAAUGCAUGCCUUCAGGGAAGGUUGUUUAAGUUUCUGAGAGGCAAAAAGGUCCAGUACCAUGGCUUGGGGAGGGGCCUUGACUCUUCAGCCCUUUAGGUGAAAGAGUUCUGGGCAGGACAGUGUGGUAAGUGCUUAGGAUAGGAAUCUGGCUGUGAACCUGGGUGUGUUGCCCAAACUGAUUGACCUCAACACACAGGAAGGAGGACAAGGCCACCCAGAAGCUGGCCCUCCCUAGGUAGAGCUCUCAGGGCUCUUUUGAGUAGGCCCCUCCACUGCUCUGGGCCUGCAUUCCUUAUCUGAGGAAGGAAGGAAAUGGACCUGAUGACUGUGAAGGCCCCCUGCAGUGCCAUAUACAGUAGACUAGGUCACUGUAACAACUCAUUUCAGGGGAAUUCGGAUGUACCGCUGGCCAAAUAUCCACAAUGGGUUGUGUUAUAGGUCAUUAUUAGGUCCAUAUCCCCAUAAAACAGACAUUAUAUUUGCAAAAGCUGUGGGAAAGAGGGGAACGGAAAGCAUCUGUUAAAAGUUUCUUUGAGAAAUUUAUGCUAUUAAGUUUGGAAGUAUAAUUAUUUUUUACCUUUUUCCCCUAUGGCUCAUUUCCCCUCCAGGACUCAACUGAGGACAAUGUAAAUCCAAAGGAGAAAAAGCAACUCACCAAAUCUUAAGAUACUCUCUCACACUCUCAGCCUAAGGUGUACACACACACCUUCUCCCAUACCACUAUACUAAAUUCUCUCAGGAGAGACUGUUUACAUUGUUUAAAGGUAAAAUGGCCCAGUGCUGAGGCAUAGAGCAGAGCCUUGAGUCUGCAGCCCUUUGAGGGAAAGAGCUCUGGGUGGGAUGGAAGGGUUAGGCAGUGAGCAGCUGCAUCUGGCAGUGUGUACAGUGUCUGAAUAUGGGACUAGAACCCAAGGGAGGGCACAGCCACUCAGAGGCUGGCCUCCAGAUUGCCCCCUUGUGCCCUCUUUUGCAGGCCAUUUCUCUGCUAUAGUCCUGUGUUCCCUCAUCUGUAAAGUGAAAGGAAUAGGCUUGAUAACCUCCAAAAGUCCUCUGCAGUGCUUGGGCAACACUUCCUCCAGGAAGGACUCCCUAGUCAACAGAGAUGGGAUGGGGAACAAAGUGUGGGUUUAUCCCCUAAGAUGACCAUCUCCCAGCAGACAUAUUUACCUUGAGGGCAUGAAACAUCCCUGGUUACUCUUUGUGACCUGAAAGGCCAGCCAGAGGAUGGGCACAGAGCAGGUGUGUCUGCCAAUCUGUAGAAUAUGGAUGUGAGAAGCAGUCCAGGUAAGCAAUCUUCACAGACCUUCUAAGCAAACAUCUGCUACUCUUUUCCAACCUCUCCAUUCACCAAAUCAAGUAGCAGCUAAGAACAGGACUUUGCUGUCACAUGACCUUGAGCUCAAAUCAUGGCCUUGCUGCUGUGUCACCUUGGCGAGUCAGCUAUAGCAGGUGAUGUGAAUGUCCUACCACAACUCCUCAGCCAUAUGCGCUGGGCCCAACAUCCACCUGCCCCAUUUCCUCUGUGGACUGAAGCCCCUCUACCUGUGCAUGGAAGGCUGGAAAUGCUGGGGAAUCAAUGCUCCCAGGGACAGCCACCGACCAAUAACCAUGGGCAGUUGGUGUGUAAAUGUACAUUUCUGAUGAAGUUGGAUAGCAUUCAAAGGGCUCAAAAACCACAAAGCUGUCAACCAAGAACCCUACAACCAGCAAAGCUAUCUUUCAGAAAUCAAGGCAAAGAUGCUCCC
rnacentral:lncRNA from 1 species